AGUGAACGCUGGCGGUAGGCCUAACACAUGCAAGUCGAACGGCAGCACAGAGGAGCUUGCUCCUUGGGUGGCGAGUGGCGGACGGGUGAGGAAUACAUCGUAAUCUACUCUGUCGUGGGGGAUAACGUAGGGAAACUCACGCUAAUACCGCAUACGACCUACGGGUGAAAGCAGGGGAUCUUCGCACCUUGCGCGAUUGAAUGAGCCGAUGUAGGAUUAGAUAGUUGGCGGGGUAAAGGACUACCAAGGCGACGAUCCGUAGCUGGUCUGAGAGGAUGAUCAGCCACACUGGAACUGAGGCACGGUCCAGACUCCUACGGGAGGCAGCAGUGGGAAUAUUGGACAAUGGGCGCAAGCCUGAUCCAGCCAUACCGCGUGGGUGAAGAAGGCCUUCGGGUUGUAAAGCCCUUUUGUUGGGAAAGAAAUCCAUCUGGUUAAUACCCGGGUGGGAUGACGGUACCCAAAGAAUAAGCACCGGCUAACUUCGUGCCAGCCGCCGCCGUAA
rnacentral:rRNA from 1 species